rnacentral:rRNA from 1 species
AGAAAAAGAAAAUUCGAUUCCCUUAGUAGCGGCGAGCGAAACGGGAAGAGCCCAAACCAACAAGCUUGCUUGUUGGGGUUGUAGGACACUCUAUACGGAGUUACAAAGGACGACAUUAGACGAAUCAUCUGGAAAGAUGAAUCAAAGAAGGUAAUAAUCCUGUAGUCGAAAAUGUUGUCUCUCUUGAGUGGAUCCUGAGUACGACGGAACACGUGAAAUUCCGUCGGAAUCUGGGAGGACCAUCUCCUAAGGCUAAAUACUCUCUAGUGACCGAUAGUGAACCAGUACCGUGAGGGAAAGGUGAAAAGCACCCCGGAAGGGGAGUGAAAUAGAACCUGAAACCGUGUGCUUACAAGUAGUCAGAGCCCGUUAAUGGGUGAUGGCGUGCCUUUUGUAGAAUGAACCGGCGAGUUACGAUUUGAUGCAAGGUUAAGCAGUAAAUGUGGAGCCGUAGCGAAAGCGAGUCUGAAUAGGGCGUUUAGUAUUUGGUCGUAGACCCGAAACCAGGUGAUCUACCCUUGGUCAGGUUGAAGUUCAGGUAACACUGAAUGGAGGACCGAACCGACUUACGUUGAAAAGUGAGCGGAUGAACUGAGGGUAGCGGAGAAAUUCCAAUCGAACCUGGAGAUAGCUGGUUCUCUCCGAAAUAGCUUUAGGGCUAGCCUCAAGUGAUGAUUAUUGGAGGUAGAGCACUGUUUGGACGAGGGGCCCCUCUCGGGUUACCGAAUUCAGACAAACUCCGAAUGCCAAUUAAUUUAACUUGGGAGUCAGAACAUGGGUGAUAAGGUCCGUGUUCGAAAGGGAAACAGCCCAGACCACCAGCUAAGGUCCCAAAAUAUAUGUUAAGUGGAAAAGGAUGUGGCGUUGCCCAGACAACUAGGAUGUUGGCUUAGAAGCAGCCAUCAUUUAAAGAGUGCGUAAUAGCUCACUAGUCGAGUGACACUGCGCCGAAAAUGUACCGGGGCUAAACAUAUUACCGAAGCUGUGGAUUGUCCUUUGGACAAUGGUAGGAGAGCGUUCUAAGGGCGUUGAAGCAUGAUCGUAAGGACAUGUGGAGCGCUUAGAAGUGAGAAUGCCGGUGUGAGUAGCGAAAGACGGGUGAGAAUCCCGUCCACCGAUUGACUAAGGUUUCCAGAGGAAGGCUCGUCCGCUCUGGGUUAGUCGGGUCCUAAGCUGAGGCCGACAGGCGUAGGCGAUGGAUAACAGGUUGAUAUUCCUGUACCACCUAUAAUCGUUUUA